AACUGGCUGAGUGCUGCCAGCUGCUUUGCCAGGUUUGCCAUGUUUUAUCCCUUGGGCAGCCAGGUCAUCACUCCCAGGUGCCUGCAUCCCUCGAGAAUCUGUAAUACAUUGCAUGCACAAGUCCUGCUGCAAAUGCAAGCUUAUCCUUCACCACCUGUCCUGAAAACUGGUCUGAGAGGCCAAGCUCUUGGUCUGACCCUUUUCCUCUUUCAUUCAGCUCCAGCUCAUGAAAUCUCCAUACCAUGUGGCAGGCCUCUUUGUUAGACCAGCAAGCUGAAGCGAAAUCACUACCUUGGAAAUGUCUGAUGCCAGGCAGGCAACUGAUCCCUCCUGUUCCUGCCAGAGGAGAUGGCUCCUGGCUGGAUGACGUGUGGGUGAGCCCAGUGACAAUUCAAGGAAGGAUGAUAACACAAAGCAGGCAGAUAAGGCAGCACAUUUGCUCCCUUCCUGCGCUGGAGAGCAGAGCUCAUCAGAGCAAUGACGUGAGCAUACUCAGCAGUCCCAUGGGGUUUUCAGUGCACAAGCUGUAGGAGCUCUUUUCUGAGGAAAAAAACUUCCUGGUAGUUCAUUUGUGUCAAAAAAUUCUUCUGGCCUGCACUUGAAGAUACAGCAUGCAGUAAAAACCAGUGAGAAAUGGCUACUUCAGGAGCAGAAUUUCACAACCUCGCGCUCUUCUUUGUUAAGCACAAUU